rnacentral:rRNA from 1 species
GAUGAACGCUGGCGGCGUGCCUAAUACAUGCAAGUCGAGCGAACAGACGAGGAGCUUGCUCCUCUGACGUUAGCGGCGGAUGGGUGAGUAACACGUGGAUAACCUACCUAUAAGACUGGGAUAACUUCGGGAAACCGGAGCUAAUACCGGAUAAUAUAUUGAACCGCAUGGUUCAAUAGUGAAAGACGGUUUUGCUGUCACUUAUAGAUGGAUCCGCGCCGCAUUAGCUAGUUGGUAAGGUAACGGCUUACCAAGGCAACGAUGCGUAGCCGACCUGAGUGGGUGAUCGGCCACACUGGAACUGAGACACGGUCCAGACUCCUACGGGAGGCAGCAGUAGGGAAUCUUCCGCAAUGGGCGAAAGCCUGACGGAGCAACGCCGCGUGAGUGAUGAAGGUCUUCGGAUCGUAAAACUCUGUUAUUAGGGAAGAACAAAUGUGUAAGUAACUAUGCACGUCUUGACGGUACCUAAUCAGAAAGCCACGGCUAACUACGUG